rnacentral:misc_RNA from 1 species
GAUGAAGAACGCAGUGAAAUGCGAUAAGUAAUGUGAAUUGCAGAACUCAGUGAAUCAUCGAAUCUUUGAACGCACAUUGCGCCCCCUGGCAUUCCGGGGGGCAUGCCUGUCCGAGCGUCAUUUCUGCCCUCCAGCCCGGCUGGGUGUUGGGCGCUGUCCCCCCGGGGACACGCCCCAAAGGCAGUGGCGGCGCCGCGUCGGGUCCUCGAGCGUAUGGGGCUUUGUCACCCGCUCGGGACGGACUCGUCGGCGCUGGUCUUCCUCCAGGCGACCCUUCGGGGCUCGUCUUCCUUCGGUUGACCUCGGAUCAGGUAGGGUUACCCGCUGAACUUAAGCAUAUCAAUAAGCGGAGGA